AUUGAACGCUGGCGGCAUGCCUUACACAUGCAAGUCGAACGGUAACGGGCCUUCGGGUGCCGACGAGUGGCGAACGGGUGAGUAAUACAUCGGAACGUGCCCGAUCGUGGGGGAUAACGAGGCGAAAGCUUUGCUAAUACCGCAUACGAUCUACGGAUGAAAGCAGGGGACCGCAAGGCCUUGCGCGGACGGAGCGGCCGAUGGCAGAUUAGGUAGUUGGUGGGAUAAAAGCUUACCAAGCCGACGAUCUGUAGCUGGUCUGAGAGGAUGAUCAGCCACAUGGGGACUGAGAAACGGCCCAGUCUCCUACGGGAGGCAGGAGGGGGGAAUUUUGGAAAAGGGGCGCAAGCCUAAUCCAGCCAUGCCGCGGGAAGGAUGAAGGCCUGCGGGUUGUAAACUGCUUUUGUACGGAACGAAAAGCCUUCUUUUAAAACAGGGGGGUCAUGACGGUACCGAAAGAAUAAGCACCGGCUAACUACGU
rnacentral:rRNA from 1 species